rnacentral:rRNA from 1 species
GACGAACGCUGGCGGCGUGCUUAACACAUGCAAGUCGAACGGAAAGGCCCGGCUUUUGGGGGGUGCUCGAGUGGCGAACGGGUGAGUAACACGUGAGUAACCUGCCCUUGACUGUGGGAUAACUUCAGAAAACUGGGGCUAAUACCGGAUAGGAGCUCCUGCUGCAUGGUGGGGGUGGGAAAGUUUCGGCGGUUGGUGAUGGACUCGCGCCUUAUCAGCUUGUUGGUUGGGUAGUGGAUUACCAAGGCUUUGACGGGUAGCCGGCCUGAGAGGGUGACAGGCCCCAUUGGGCCUGAGCUACGGCACAGCCUACUCCGGGAGGCAGCAGUGGGGAAUAUUGCACAAUGGGCGGAAGGCUGACGCAGCCCCGCCGCGUCCGGGAUGAGGGCCUUCGCGUUGUAAACCGCUUUCGCCUGUGACGAAGCGUGAGUGACGGUAAUGGGUAAAGAAGCACCGGCUAACUACGUG